rnacentral:rRNA from 1 species
GCUGGAAAGCUUGGCGAUACAGGGUGAUAGCCCCGUAACCGACGCUUCAUCGAGCGUGAAAUCGAGUAGGGCGGGACACGUGAUAUCCUGUCUGAAUAUGGGGGGACCAUCCUCCAAGGCUAAAUACUCCUGACUGACCGAUAGUGAACCAGUACCGUGAGGGAAAGGCGAAAAGAACCCCUGUGAGGGGAGUGAAAUAGAACCUGAAACCGUGUACGUACAAGCAGUAGGAGCACCUUCGUGGUGUGACUGCGUACCUUUUGUAUAAUGGGUCAGCGACUUAUAUUCAGUGGCAAGGUUAACCGUAUAGGGGAGCCGUAGCGAAAGCGAGUCUUAACUGGGCGCUCAGUCUCUGGAUAUAGACCCGAAACCGGGUGAUCUAGCCAUGGGCAGGUUGAAGGUUGAGUAACAUCAACUGGAGGACCGAACCGACUAAUGUUGAAAAAUUAGCGGAUGACUUGUGGCUAGGGGUGAAAGGCCAAUCAAACUCGGAGAUAGCUGGUUCUCCCCGAAAGCUAUUUAGGUAGCGCCUCGGACGAAUACUACUGGGGGUAGAGCACUGUUAAGGCUAGGGGGUCAUCCCGACUUACCAACCCUUUGCAAACUCCGAAUACCAGUAAGUACUAUCCGGGAGACACACGGCGGGUGCUAACGUCCGUCGUGGAGAGGGAAACAACCCAGACCGCCAGCUAAGGUCCCAAAGUAUUGCUAAGUGGGAAACGAUGUGGGAAGGCUCAGACAGCUAGGAUGUUGGCUUAGAAGCAGCCAUCAUUUAAAGAAAGCGUAAUAGCUCACUAGUCGAGUCGGCCUGCGCGGAAGAUGUAACGGGGCUAAGCAAUACACCGAAGCUGCGGCAAUAUCUUUUAGAUAUUGGGUAGGGGAGCGUUCUGUAAGCCGUUGAAGGUGAAUCGUAAGGUUUGCUGGAGGUAUCAGAAGUGCGAAUGCUGACAUGAGUAACGACAAAGGGGGUGAAAAACCUCCUCGCCGGAAGACCAAGGGUUCCUGUCCAACGUUAAUCGGGGCAGGGUGAGUCGACCCCUAAGGUGAGGCCGAAAGGCGUAAUCGAUGGGAAACGGGUUAAUAUUCCCGUACUUCUGACUAUUGCGAUGGGGGGACGGAGAAGGCUAGGUGGGCCAGGCGACGGUUGUCCUGGUUCAAGUGCGUAGGCUUGAGAGUUAGGUAAAUCCGGCUCUCUCUAAGGCUGAGACACGACGUCGAGCUGCUACGGCAGUGAAGUCAUUGAUGCCAUGCUUCCAGGAAAAGCCUCUAAGCUUCAGAUAGUCAGGAAUCGUACCCCAAACCGACACAGGUGGUCGGGUAGAGAAUACCAAGGCGCUUGAGAGAACUCGGGUGAAGGAACUAGGCAAAAUGGUACCGUAACUUCGGGAGAAGGUACGCUCUUGAUGGUGAAGUCCCUCGCGGAUGGAGCUGACGAGAGUCGCAGAUACCAGGUGGCUGCAACUGUUUAUUAAAAACACAGCACUGUGCAAAAUCGCAAGAUGACGUAUACGGUGUGACGCCUGCCCGGUGCCGGAAGGUUAAUUGAUGGGGUUAGCGCAAGCGAAGCUCUUGAUCGAAGCCCCGGUAAACGGCGGCCGUAACUAUAACGGUCCUAAGGUAGCGAAAUUCCUUGUCGGGUAAGUUCCGACCUGCACGAAUGGCGUAAUGAUGGCCACGCUGUCUCCACCCGAGACUCAGUGAAAUUGAAAUCGCUGUGAAGAUGCAGUGUACCCGCGGCUAGACGGAAAGACCCCGUGAACCUUUACUACAGCUUGGCACUGAACAUUGAACCUACAUGUGUAGGAUAGGUGGGAGGCUAUGAAGACGUGACGCCAGUUGCGUUGGAGCCGUCCUUGAAAUACCACCCUUGUAUGU